rnacentral:lncRNA from 1 species
UCGGCCUCCCAAAGUGCUGGGAUUACAGGCGUGAGCCACUGUGCCCGGCCAGAAGUGAUUGCUUUCUAAAGGUAGAUUACUGGCCAGAGUUUUUGAGUUACAAGAGCCACUCCAGAGAUUUCUUUUAGAAAAACAGUCACCACUGGCAACACAUUUCAGUGACACAGAAUGGCUCACAAAACUUGCUUACUUAUGUAACAUAUUCAACCUGCUCAAUGAAGUCAAUCUGUUGUCACUUCAAGGGAGAAUGACAACGGUGUUCAAGUCAACAGAUAAAAGUGGCUGCAUUCAAAGCCAAACUAGUAUUAUGAGGGCAAUGCAUAAACAUUGGGAUUUCUGACAUGUUUCAAACAUUAGCAGAAAUCUUGAAACAGACUGAGCCAGGGCCUUCUUUCUCCCAGCUGGUACAUGGAUCACCUAUCUCAGCUUUUUAAAGAAUCUGAGCAUUAAUUCCCAACCAUAAAAAAACCCGAACUGGGAAGAAAUGGAUAGCGACCCACUUGUAAAUUGCCAGGUGAAUCAACUUUGUCCACACUAGAAGAGAAUCAACUGCUUGAGACUGCAAAUGACAGUGGUCUUAAAAGUAUGUUUGAGACAACUUCAAGUCUCCAUACAUUUUGGAUUAGAGUCAAGGCAGAAUAUCCUGAGAUUGCCACAAAAGCACUGAAAAGCCUGCUUCCAUUUCCAACAUCAUAUCUUUGUGAAGCAGGGUUUUCUGCAAUGAUAGCGACCAAAAUGAGAUUACAGAGUAGACUGGACAUAAUCAACAAACUUUGGGUGUCACUGACUCCCAACACUCCCAGAUGAGACCGUCUAGUUGUGGAAAACAAGCUCCGGGCUCCCACUGAUUCUACAUUAUGGUCUGUGGAGAAAUUGUCUUCCUCAAAACCAGACCCUGGUGCCAAAAAGGUUAGGGACUUCUGCUAUACACUCUGAAGUUAUCCUUCAAGAGCGAAAGAGAAAGACUUCCACAGACAAAAAUUGAAGGAUUUUUGUGGCCAGUAUAUCUGCUUUGCAAGAAAUGUUAAAAGCCUUCAGAGAGAAGGGAAAUGACACAGGUCAGAAACUCACAUCUAGACAAAGAAAGCAAGAGCAUCGGAAAAGGAAUAAGUGAAGAAGAAGUAUUGAAGGGAAAUAAAGGCCUCAUCUGCUAGAAGAGAAUCCUUAAGUCCCAAAGAUGCACUAUAGAUGACAGAAUGCACUGUCGUGGCUGUAAGUUCCUAUCUCAUCAUCACUUUGGUGCAACUCCACAUCUGCAACUAGCCAUGAGAUAAGAGAAAAGGCCAGAUGACAUAUAUACCCUACACCAAGAAUGCAUGGAUGAAGAAUGAAGUUGAUAACAACCUACAAGCUGGUUCUUAGGCGCUGUCAGAACUCUAGGAGAACAAAGAAGCCUUCUAUUAAGGCAGAAGACAAUCCUGCUUCCUAAUAUAGAAAAGAGGAAAGGAUUUUAUAUUCAAAUAACUUCUCCCCUAUAUCCCUUUAGUAACACAUUUUUUCCCAAGUAGUUAGAAAACAAGAAUUUUUAUUCAGUAAAGUCAUAACUGGCUUUGAGAAGCAUACCAUUGCAUGGCAGUUAUAUAUUACUAGUAAAAUAUACAUCUUGACAAUAUCCCAGAAAACCGAGGUACUUGUUUUGAUAGAAAAACAUGUAUCAAAAUUCACAUAUUGAUAAAUCAUAAAAUUACUGUUGCUAUGCUGUUCUACUUAGAAUUUCAAAGUAAUCUAUCAUGUUUCUACAUCACUGUAACCAAUAUAAGUAAUCUAGAACAUGUUAAUUUAAGCAUAUAAUUUAUAACUUAUUAAUGACAAAACUUUGACAUGAACAUGCAAUGUAAAAGGUAGUUAUAAACCUUGUAACUAUGUGAGUUAAUUUGAAGAAACAAAGUAUGCCAUCAAAGUAACAUUUCAAAAUGUGUAAAGGUGAAACAGAGACAUUUUUACAGGUAAACAUUUUAUAUAUAUAUUUAGUAGCUGCCAAACUCAGGGAGCACUGGGAAGGCCUCAUUUAGAUGUUUUACCUAAAAAUGCAUAUGACACACUGUUCUCUACCCUAAUGUAGGCAUGUAGACCCUAACCAUAUAGAUUUAUAGACCCAGAAAAUAUACA